rnacentral:rRNA from 1 species
GAGACAAACAACUGCGAAAGCAUUUGCCUAAAAUACUUCCAUUAAUCAAGAACGAAAGUUAAGGGAGUGAAGACGAUCAGAUACCGUCGUAAUCUUAACCAUAAACUAUGCCGACUAGGUGUUGGAUGAAAGUGUUAAAAUAAAAGUCAUCUUUCGAGGUGACUUUUAGAUUGCUUCCUUCAGUACCUUAUGAGAAAUCAAAGUCUUUGGGUUCUGGGGCGAGUAUUCGCGCAAGCGAGAAAGUUAAAAGAAUUGACGGAAGGGCACCACCAGGCGUGGAGCUUGCG